rnacentral:lncRNA from 1 species
UCAUUUUUUAUCAAAUAAUAAAAAUAUCAAAUCCCUAAACCUAAUCCCUAAAUCUCUAAAAAUUCAUUCUUAUUUCUUAUUCCCCCUUUCUUAAGAGUUAGCUAGGGUUUGUGAUUUCUUCUCAUUCCUCCUUUUUUUUGCACAAGCACACAAGAGUUAGCUAGGGUUUGACUCGGCUCCUUCUCAGUUCUCAUCUUGGUAAGUGGUAACUCGGCUCCCCUCAGUCCCCACAAAAAAACAGAUUUUUGUGGUGAGAUGCUAGUCGGAUCAUGUGAAGAUUACUAUGUUGCUCAUCUUUAUCUCCUAAUCUUUAUUCUUUACAUCUUAAUCUUCAACAUGAGUCAUGA